rnacentral:rRNA from 1 species
UGCCAGCCGCCGCGGUAACACGGGGGGCGCAAGCGUUAUUCGGAAUUAUUGGGCGUAAAGGGCGCGCAGGCGGUCUUGUCCGUCAGGUGUGAAAGCCCCGGGCUUAACCUGGGAAUUGCAUUCGAUACUGGUAGACUUGAAUUUGGUAGAGGAAAGUGGAAUUCCGGGUGUAGCGGUGAAAUGCGUAGAUAUCCGGAGGAACAUCAGUGGCGAAGGCGGCUUUCUGGACCAAAAUUGACGCUGAGGCACGAAAGCGUGGGUAGCAAACAGGAUUAGAUA